ACCGAGUUUUCAACUCCCAAACCCCUGUGAACAUACCUCGACGUUGCUUCGGCGGGACCGCCCCGGUCGCCCCUCGCGGGCGGACCGGAACCAGGCGCCCGCCGGAGGACCACAAACUCUUGUUUCCUAAUAGUGGCAAUACUCUGAGUAAAACAAAAAAAAUAAAUCAAAACUUUCAACAACGGAUCUCUUGGCUCUGGCAUCGAUGAAGAACGCAGCGAAAUGCGAUAAGUAAUGUGAAUUGCAGAAUUCAGUGAAUCAUCGAAUCUUUGAACGCACAUUGCGCCCGCCAGUAUUCUGGCGGGCAUGCCUGUUCGAGCGUCAUUUCAACCCUCAAGCCCCAGCGGCUUGGUGUUGGGGACCGGCCCCGCGCCGCCCCCGAAAUGCAGUGGCGACCUCGCCGCAGCCUCCCCUGCGUAGUAGCACAAACCUCGCACCGGAGCGCGGAGACGGUCACGCCGUAAAACGCCCAACUUUCUUAGAGUUGACCUCGGAUCAGGUAGGAAUACCCGC
rnacentral:rRNA from 1 species